GGGGUUGUGGCUCAAUGGUAGAGUGCUCACCUAACACAUGCGAGGCGCUGGGUUCGGUCCUCAGCACCACA
rnacentral:tRNA from 1 species